rnacentral:miRNA from 1 species
GAAUCCUGUUAAAAUGCAGACCCAGAUUCAGCAGGUCUGGGUGAGGCUUGAAAUUCUGCAUUUCUAACAACUUC